AAAGAUUUAACAUUUCAAAUAAUAUACUAAUAUUUAAAAUCAAAAUUUUUUUAAAUGUAAAAAAACAUCUAUAUAAUAGAAAGACGACAAGACCCUAUUGAACUUAACUUAAGUUAAACUGGGGAAGUUAAAUAAUUAAUAUUUUUAUUACUAUUAAUUAAUAAUAAUCAAUGAAUUUUAUUCAUCCAGUUACCAUAGGGAUAACAGCGUAAUUAUAUCUUAAAGAUCUUAUUAAAGUAGUAGAUUACGACCUCGAUGUUGAAUUAAUAUCCUAUUUUCACUUUAAAGCAAAAUUUAAAAAAGGAAGUCUGUUCGACUUUUAAAAAAUUACAUGAUUUGAGUUCAGACCGGUACAAACCAGGUCGGUUUCAAUCUUCUAUAUAAAUUUUUAUAGUACGAAAGGACCCAAAAAUAUAAUGUCAUUAUAAUAUUGGCAGAAUAAUGCAUUAGAUUUAGAAUCUAAAUAUAAUAACA
rnacentral:rRNA from 1 species